AUUGAACGCUAGCGGGAUGCCUUACACAUGCAAGUCGAACGGAGUGGCGAACGGGUGAGUAAUGUAUCGGAACGUGCCCAGUAGCGGGGGAUAACUCCGCGAAAGCGGAGCUAAUCACGCCUACUAUUGGAUCGGCCGAUGGCGGAUUAGCUAGGUGGUGGGGUAACGGCUCACCAAGGCGACGAUCCGUAGCUGGUGUGAGCGGACGACCAGCCACACUGGGACGGAGACACGGUCCAGACUCCUACGGGAGGCAGCAUUGGGGAAUUUGGGAAAAGGGGGGAAACCCUGAUCCAGCCAUCCCGCGUGUGGGAUGAAGGCCGUCGGUUUGUAAAGCACUUUUGGCAGGAAAGCGGUACCUGCAGAAUAAGCACCGGCUAACGACGUGCCAGCAGCCGCGGUAAUUC
rnacentral:rRNA from 1 species